rnacentral:rRNA from 1 species
AUUGAACGCUGGCGGAUGCCUUACACAUGCCAGUUGGACGGCAGCGCGGGCUUCGGCCUGGCGGCGAGUGGCGAACGGGUGAGUAAUGCAUCGGAACGUGCCCAGUAGUGGGGGAUAGCCCGGCGAAAGCCGGAUUAAUACCGCCUACGACCUGAGGGUGAAAGCGGGGGACCGAAAGGCCUCGCGCCAUUGGAGCGGCCGAUGUCGGAUUAGCUAGUUGGUGGGGUAAAGGCUUACCAAGGCGACGAUCCGUAGCUGGUCUGAGAGGACGACCAGCCACACUGGGACUGAGACACGGCCCAGACUCCUACGGGAGGCAGCAGUGGGGAAUUUUGGACAAUGGGGGCAACCCUGAUCCAGCCAUGCCGCGUGCGGGAAGAAGGCCUUCGGGUUGUAAACCGCUUUUGUUCGGGAAGAAAUCCUCUGGGCUAAUACCCCGGGGGGAUGACGGUACCGGAAGAAUAAGCACCGGCUAACUACGUG